CCCUUAGAUGUCCGGGGCCGCACGCGCGCUACACUGAAGGAAUCAGCGUGGCUUUCUCCCUGACCCGAAAGGGUUGGGAAACCCGUUGAAUCUCCUUCGUGAUAGGGAUUGGGGCUUGAAAUUGUUCCCCAUGAACGAGGAAUUCCCAGUAAGCGCGAGUCAUAAGCUCGCGUUGAUUACGUCCCUGCCCUUUGUACACACCGCCCGUCGCUACUACCGAUUGAACGGUUUAGUGAGGGCCUCGGAUUGGUCUCGGCCCGCUCUUUACCGGGCGGUGCCGUUGGUCGAGAAGACGCUCGAACUUGAUCGUUUAGAGGAAGUAAAAGUCGUAACA
rnacentral:rRNA from 1 species